AUUGAACGCUGGCGGCAGGCUUAACACAUGCAAGUCGAGCGGGGGCUUCGGUCCUAGCGGCGAACGGGUGAGGAAUGCUUGGGAAUCUGCCCAGUAGCGGGGGAUAACGUUUCGAAAGGAACGCUAAUACCGCAUACGCCCUACGGGGGAAAGGGGGGGAUCUUCGGACCUCUCACUAUUGGAUGAGCCCAAGUCGGAUUAGCUAGUUGGUGAGGUAAAGGCUCACCAAGGCGACGAUCCGUAGCUGGUCUGAGAGGAUGAUCAGCCGCACUGGAACUGAGACACGGUCCAGCCUCCUACGGGAGGCAGCAGUGGGGAAUAUUGGACAAUGGGCGAAAGCCUGAUCCAGCCAUGCCGCGUGUGUGAAGAAGGCCUUCGGGUUGUAAAGCACUUUAAGCGAGGAGGAAUGGCUCCGGGUUAAUACCCUUGAGCAUAGACGUUACUCGCAGAAUAAGCACCGGCUAACUCUGUGCCAGCAGCCGCGGUAAAAC
rnacentral:rRNA from 1 species